rnacentral:rRNA from 1 species
GGAAUCUUGCGCAAUGGGCGAAAGCCUGACGCAGCAACGCCGCGUGGGGGAUGAAGGCCUUCGGGUUGUAAACCCCUUUCAGCAGGAACGAAUCUGACGGUACCUGCAGAAGAAGGUCCGGCCAACUACGUGCCAGCAGCCGCGGUAACACGUAGGGACCAAGCGUUGUCCGGAUUUAUUGGGCGUAAAGAGCUCGUAGGCGGCUUGGUAAGUCGGGUGUGAAACCUCCAGGCUCAACCUGGUGACGCCACCCGAUACUGCCAUAGCUUGAGUUCGGUAGGGGAGCGGGGAAUUCCUGGUGUAGCGGUGAAAUGCGCAGAUAUCAGGAGGAACACCGGUGGCGAAGGCGCCGCUCUGGGCCGAAACUGACGCUGAGGAGCGAAAGCGUGGGGAGCAAAC